rnacentral:rRNA from 1 species
AUUGAACGCUGGCGGCAGGCCUAACACAUGCAAGUCGAGCGAGCGGCGGACGGGUGAGUAAUGUAUGGGGACUGCCCGAUAGAGGGGGAUAACUACUGGAAACGGUGGCUAAUACAGCAUACUAUCGGAUAACCCAUAUGGGAUUAGGUAGUAGGUGAGGUAAUGGCUCACCUAGGCGACGAUCCCUAGCUGGUCUGAGAGGAUGACAAGCACCACUGGGACGGAGACACGGCCCAGACUCCUACGGAGGUAGCAGUGGGGAAUAUUGCACAAUGGGCGCAAGCCUGAUCCAGCCAUGCCGCGUGUAUGAAGAAGGCCUUAGGGUUGUAAAGGACUUUCAGUCGGGAGGCGUUACCGACAGAAGAAGCACCGGCUAACUCCGUGCCAGCCGCCGCGGUAAUAC